GAAUCAAAACCAACAGUUAGCAGGAUCCAUACUGGGGAAAAACUGGCUGGGCAUCACAGUCAUUCCAUGCACCAAGUGGCAGAUUUGGGGGACUAGCCAGUGCAAAGUACCAGGAGAAGAGACACAGCUUAACAACAUGAUAAGAAACAUAGCCACCUUGUUCAUUGAGAGGAAACAUCUGAAGGCAAAAGCCGACAGGCUGAAGAGGCGAGAAUCCCAAGGUGUGGAGCCAAUCCUGAAAGCAUCCUACCAUCACAAGUGUUUUAAGAGGAAAAGUGGGCUCUUUGAAAUGUGAGCAGAGCACCGAUCGUGUCACCUGCCCGGCGCGUGACCUGUUCACUUUCCACCUGACCCUCUGUGCCCAAUGUCACCUGGAGCCUGAAACCUGGAAGGGAAAAGUCCUUGACUGGAGUCAGUGGAGAGAAAAUCAUCACCUGCUUGGGCACAAACAUGCCUGGUGACUGCGUCACUGUCUGUUAAGUGGGAUCAGCUAAUAGUUGCACAGCGGGCCUUCAAAGCAUCACGGCAGAACUGAUGAAGUUCCUGUAAUGCAUUCCCUGUGUGAAGGCCUUGGACUUUAGAGCUCAAGUGCGCCAGGAGCAUUUUGAGCUUGCCGACAGGCUCUCCCAUGGAUUCUAUUUGGUUAUACGGCAGUGGAAAAGAAUUGACUUUCAUUUUCGUCACUCUCUGCCUGAGUCUCUCGACUGCAGCCACACUUCUGUUUCCCGUAUAUUGCAUAGGCUAUUCCCUCUACCUGGGACACCCUCCCCUCUGGAUUGCAGCAAGAUUUGCUUCUAUGUUUCACUCAGUUAUCUACUUACAAAUCACCUCCUUAGGGACCUUGCAGGCUGCUCUCUUUCUCCUUACCUGGCUUCAUUUUCCUUCACAGCACCUGAUACUAUUACACAUAUUUACUUAGUUAGUAGUCCAUGCUUUUUCUUCCCCACUGGACCAUAAGUUCUCUGAAGGCAAGAGCCACAUUUGUGUUUUUCCACUGAUCUGUCCUCAGUGUCUACAAUAGUACUCAACCCACAAUAUAACCUUGAGAAACAUUUCUUAAAGAAGUGAAUAAAUGAACGAGUGAAGGAGUGAUUUUUUUCUCAUUUUACAAAUGAAACAAGUCAAAAACAAAGAGGGGAAGUAAGCUAGUCCAGCUCUACAACCAUUUAGUGGCACAGCUAGUAUUAACAUUUUGAUUUCCUAACUCACAAUCUAGGAUUUUAUUUUCGUUUUAUUCCAUACAACACUGUUCUCCAGAAAUUUGGCAACUCAGACGGCACUUGACUUUUCACAAACACAUUUCUUGCUGUCUUUAACCUGUUCAUGUCAAUGAGAAUGACUAUAACCUCAUGAGAGACAAGUGUUUACUAGUUAAGUUCUUACUGAAGUGAUUGGUCUUAGAACUCCCUUUCAAGGGCAAAGACGAUUGAAAAUUAGUUAUACAAUUACAUUUUUAAAACAUUUUUGAGUAUAAUGAUUUUAAGCAUUUGUUGUAUAAAGGUGGAUAUGCAUAAAGAACAGGUAAAAAUAAUAAUCAUUAUAAUCAUAUAUAGAAGUCGUCUUGGUACAUUUUAAACAUAUUUAACAAUUGGAAUCCUGCUGUAUGCCG
rnacentral:lncRNA from 1 species